GGGGCAGGUAGCCUAGUGGUUAGAGUGUAGCGGUGGCAGGUAGCCUAGUGGUUAGAGUGUAGGGGUGGCAGGUAGCCUAGUGGUUAGAGUGUAGCGGUGGCAGGUAGCCUAGUGGUUAGAGUGUAGGGGUGGCAGGUAGCCUAGUGGUUAGAGUGUAGCGGUGGCAGGUAGCCUAGUGGUUAGAGUGUAGGGGUGGUAGGUAGACUAGUGGUUAGAGUGUAGGGGGGGCAGGCAGACUAGUGGUUAGAGUGUAGGGGCGGCAGGUAGACUAGUGGUUAGAGUGUAGGGGCGGUAGGUAGACUAGUGGUUAGAGUGUAGGGGUGGCAGGUAGCCUAGUGGUUAGAGUGUAGGGGGGGCAGGCAGACUAGUGGUUAGAGUGUAGGGGUGGUAGGUAGCCUAGUGUUUCGAGCGUUGGGCCAGUAACCGAAAGGUUGCUAGAUCGAAUCCCCGAGGUGACAAGGUAUAAAUCUGUCGUUCUGCCCGUGAACAAGGCAGUUAACCCACUGUUCCCCGGUAGGCCGUCAUUGAAAAUAAGAACUUGUUCUUAACUGACAUGCCUAGUUAAAAAAAAUAAAAAAUGCAAUACCAUGUGUGGAUAUCAUAAGGUGAAUGCACUAAUUUGUAAGUCGCUCUGGAUAAGAGCGUCUGCUAAAUGACUAAAAUGUAAAUGUAAGACACUUCCACAGUCUAUUUCUAUUUCACUUCCACAGUCUAUUUCUACUUCCACAGUCUAAUACUAUUUCACACACUUUGUUCCUUUUCUCUUGAUUUGGUGUUGAUUCUACUGCCUAUUGAUCCUCCCUUUCUGAUGUGAAUACUAUCUUUGUUUUCUUUCUGGAGACUGUAUGUGGUCCUUCCCUCUCUUUCUGGCACCCUAUUGCCCAGUACAGUGCACUACCAGGACCUAUUGGUCAAACGUAGUGCACUAAAAUGGGAAUAGAGUACAGUUUGGAACGUAGUCUCUGAGUUGUGUGACAGAGUAGACUGGGUUUUGUGUUUCUCUCCUCUAGACCCUCUCAGAUAUUACCCUGUUACUAUUUUCAGAUGUGUGGCUGCAAGUCUUUCAAUAAAAAGUCUAAAACA